UCGAAGUCAUCAUGGCCCUUAUGUCCCAGGGCGACACACGUGCUACAAUGGUCGGUACAAAGGGUUGCCAAGCCGCGAGGUGGAGCUAAUCCCAUAAAACCGAUCGUAGUCCGGAUCGCAGUCUGCAACUCGACUGCGUGAAGUCGGAAUCGCUAGUAAUCGUGAAUCAGAAUGUCACGGUGAAUACGUUCCCGGGCCUU
rnacentral:rRNA from 1 species